UUUUAAAUUUACGCUUGAUAUAACUAGAAUGUAACUGUAAAAGUGAACGUAAACCAGGUUACAAAAUUGCAGUUUGAUACUGUGCCUGCAGAGAGUCUGAGCCUGAGGCUUGCUCUCUCUGUACAAAGGGAGGUUAAGGGAUGUCGUGGGGGGAAUUAGACAUACUGGCACACAAGUGAGAAUUUUCUCCUUAAUAAAGUUAGAAACCUGGAAUGGGAACUGCUCAGGAAGGAACUUUCUCACUCUAAGACUUGAGGUUAUUUACUGCCUUGGUACCCUGCUGAAAAUGAUGCCAGAUGUGGGGUGGGGAACUGGGGAAGUGCUGUCUGCAGGGUAACGCCCCCUGGCGGCUUGGCUGGCCCGCAGGCCUGGAGCCUGUUCUUCCCCAGCUCCACCGUGUUGGGGCGCUAGCGCAGCGCACCCGGGUGCCUUGCUGAGAGCCAGGUCUGAUGGCGGGUCAAGUCCCCGGUGAAGCCUCCUGAGGGGCCUGCAGGAUAUCAGGUCUACAAAGGUCCGUGGCAGCCCUGUAGCCAGUGUCCAACCCUCUGAGAAGGCUGGAGGGACCAUCAAGGUUGGCAUCUGCUCCGAGAGCUGUCCCAUCCUUCAAUCUCCCAGCUGCAUCCUGCCAAGCGGCCUUCUGGCUUCUGGUCAAACACAGCUAGCUAGCGCUGGAGACCACCCAUCCUCGGACCCCUCUAACUGAAGAGAGCUCUUGCUUAGGUUAAGGGGAAACCUGUCUCCCUGAGGAUUAAGGAUUCCCCUGACUCCCACCCCUUGGCUGAAGCUCCCGCCGGCCUUUUUGUUGACAGCAUCACCUUAUUGACCUGCUUCCUCCUCACUAGACCCUGGAGCUCCCAAGCCUUCCUGCAGAUGCUGCUGCCAGCCGAUGACUUGAGAGACCAAGUUGGUGACUAACUCAGGGUCUUGGUAUUUGCUUUUCCUCCGCCUCAGACAUGUUUCAAGUGCUGUUUCUGUUUUGAAUGCCCAGGGUUCUCCCUUGCAGAAGCUCUGCCAGGAGAAAGCUUUUCUUAGGGGCAGACCCCGCCUUUGCCCAUCAUCCAUCUCAGAGAUGGAGGCUACUGAGAGUUUUGGAUGAAUCCAUACACACCUGCAUAGAAGUCUGGUUAUGUGUCCUCAGUAUAGAACAAGGACAAAAUGUUUAUUUUAAAUGUUUCCAAAUCAACCAGGCAAAUAAUUUCCCAAACUUAAAUCUCAUUCUACCACUCAGGGAACUACACAGACCCAGUGGAUGGAACAUAGAAACGUUAUUCUGUCCCUUUGUCACUCUCCUGAGGAGUCCUAGGUCUGUGGGAUGCAGCAGAAAAGCAAUCUUUUGUCAUCGCCAUCACAUGUCUGCUUACCAUAGCGAUGCUUCCUAACAUGGUCUACAGUUUAAAUGCAAUCCCUAUCAAAAUCCCAAUGGCCUAUUUCUGCAGAAAUGGGAAAGUUGAUCCUAAAAUUCCUAUGGAAUUGCAAGUGAUCUCAAAUAGGCAAAAGAAUCUUGAAAAAGAACAAAGUUGGAGGACUCACACUUUGAGGUUUCAAAAAUUACUUCAAAGCUAUGGUAAUCAAAACAUUGCAGUAUUCGUAUAAAGAGAGACCUGCCGUUCAGUGGAAUAGAAUUAAGAGUACAGAAAUAAACCCAUACGUCUA